rnacentral:rRNA from 1 species
CAGUCGCCACGGUAAUACAGAGGGUGCGAGCGUUAAUCGGAUUUACUAGGCGUAAAGCGUGCGUAGGCGGCUUUUUAAGUCGGAUGUGAAAUCCCUGAGCUUAACUUAGGAAUUGCAUUCGAUACUGGGAAGCUAGAGUAUGGGAGAGGAUGGUAGAAUUCCAGGUGUAGCGGUGAAAUGCGUAGAGAUCUGGAGGAAUACCGAUGGCGAAGGCAGCCAUCUGGCCUAAUACUGACGCUGAGGUACGAAAGCAUGGGGAGCAAACAGGAUUAGAUACCCGCGUAGUCCCUGUCUCUUAUAU